GGGGGCGUUCUGGUUUCGACUGAUGAUUUGAAGCCGGGGUCGCAUGCCGAGGUUGAUCGGUUGGCCUCGUAAAAAGCCGGUCAAAAAACAAUAAUUGCAGAUUCUAACGAAUACGCACUCGCUGCUUAAUUGACAGUGACGUUCUCCGGCUGACGCCUACUAGGUUGGGGAGCGACUACCAGAAGGCUAGUCGCGAAGCGGGGUGUCCGCGUUUCGCCGCGAAACUAAACAGGGCAACCGGGAGAAGCAGGUUUGCCAGAUGUAGCUGCCCUCCUUAACGCAAACACUGGAUAUGCAUGUAGAAGCCUCAGUGAAGGAUUAUCAGGACAGGGGUUCAACUCCCCUCGCCUCCACCA
rnacentral:tmRNA from 1 species